GACGAACGCUGGCGGCGCGCCUAACACAUGCAAGUCGAACGAGCGAGAGAGAGCUUGCUUUCUCGAGCGAGUGGCGAACGGGUGAGUAACGCGUGAGGAACCUGCCUCAAAAGAGGGGGACGAACAGUUGGAAACGAACUGCUAAUACCGCAUAAGCCCACCAGGUCGGCAUCGACCAGAGGGAAAAGGAAGGCAAUCCGCUUUGAGAUGGCCUCGCGUCCGAUUAGCUAGUUGGUGGGGUAACGGCCUACCCAAGGCAACGAUCAGUAGCCGAACUGAGAGGUUGAACGGCCACAUUGGGGACUGAGAUACGGCCCCAG
rnacentral:rRNA from 1 species